AGUUGUAAUCUAGAGAAGUGNUUAUCCCGCGCUGGACCGUGUACAAGUCCCCCUGGAAUGGGGCGUCAUAGAGGGUGAGAAUCCCGUCUUUGACACGGACUACCAGGGCUUUGUGAUGCACUCUCAAAGAGUCGAGUUGUUUGGGAAUGCAGCUCAAAAUGGGUGGUAAAUUCCAUCUAAAGCUAAAUAUUGGCGAGAGACCGAUAGCGAACAAGUACCGUGAGGGAAAGAUGAAAAGAACUUUGGAAAGAGAGUUAAACAGUACGUGAAAUUGUUGAAAGGGAAACGCUUGAAGUCAGUCGCGUCNCCCNCGGAUCAACCUUACUUUUGUGANNGCNCUACNNNNNGGUUGAUGGGUCAGCAUCAGUUUUGGUCGCUGGAUAAAGGUCAGAGAAAUGUGGCACCUUCGGGUGUGUUAUAGUCUUNGAUCAGAUACAGUGGCUGGGACUGAGGAACUCAAGCGCCGCAAGGCUGUCUUAGGAUGCUGGCAAAAUGCUANCC
rnacentral:rRNA from 1 species